rnacentral:rRNA from 1 species
GGUGAGUACACGUGACUAACCUACCCUCGAGUGGGGAAUAACCUCGGGAAACCGGGGCUAACACCGCAUAACAUCUACGGAUCAAAUGCGUAAGCAGCUUGAGGAGGGGGUCGCGGCUGAUUAGCUAGUUGGCGGGGUAAUGGCCCACCAAGGCAAUGAUCAGUAGCCGGCCUGAGAGGGCGCACGGCCACACUGGAACUGAAACACGGUCCAGACUCCUACGGGAGGCAGCAGUGGGGAAUUUUGCGCAAUGGGGGAAACCCUGACGCAGCAACGCCGCGUGGAGGAUGAAGCCCCUUGGGGUGUAAACUCCUUUCGAUCGGGACGAUGAUGACGGUACCGGAUGAAGAAGCACCGGCUAACUCUGUGCCAGCAGCCGCGGUAAUACAGAGGGUGCAAGCGUUGUUCGGAAUUAUUGGGCGUAAAGGGUGCGUACGCGGUGCGGUAAGUCUUCUGUGAAACCUCCGGGCUUAACUCGGAGCCUGCAGGAGAAACUGCCGUGCUGGAGUAUGGGA